AUUGAACGCUGGCGGCAGGCCUAACACAUGCAAGUCGAGCGGAUGAAGGGAGCUUGCUCCUGGAUUCAGCGGCGGACGGGUGAGUAAUGCCUAGGAAUCUGCCUGGUAGUGGGGGAUAACGUCCGGAAACGGGCGCUAAUACCACAUACGUCCUGAGGGAGAAAGUGGGGGAUCUUCGGACCUCACGCUAUCAGAUGAGCCUAGGUCGGAUUAGCUAGUUGGUGGGGUAAAGGCCUACCAAGGCGACGAUCCGUAACUGGUCUGAGAGGAUGAUCAGUCACACUGGAACUGAGGCACGGUCCAGACUCCUACGGGAGGCAGCAGUGGGGAAUAUUGGACAAUGGGCGAAAGCCUGAUCCAGCCAUGCCGCGUGUGUGAAGAAGGUCUUCGGAUUGUAAAGCACUUUAAGUUGGGAGGAAGGGCAGUAAGUUAAUACCUUGCUGUUUUGACGUUACCAACAGAAUAAGCACCGGCUAACUUCGUG
rnacentral:rRNA from 1 species